GCCAGACAAGAGAAUAAAAGCAGGCUGCCUGAGCCAGCAGUGGCAACCCACUCGAGUCCCCUUCCACACUGUGGAAGCUUUGUUCUUUCGCUCUUUGCAAUAAAUCUUGCUACUGCUCACUCUUUGGGUCCACACUGCUUUUAUGAGCUGUAACACUCACCACGAAGGUCUGCAGCUUCACUCCUGAAGCCAGCGAGACCACGAGCCCACCGGGAGGAAUGAACAACUCCAGACGCGCCACCUUAAGAGCUGUAACACUCACCACGAAGGUCUGUAGCUUCACUCCUGAGCCAGUGAGACCACGAACCCACCAGAAGGAAGAAACUCCGAACACAUCCGAACAUCAGAAGGAACAAACUCCAGACACGCCACCUUAAGAGCUGUAACACUCACCGCGAGGGUCCGCGGCUUCAUUCUUGAAGUCAGUGAGACCAAGAACCCACCAAUUCCGGACACAAGAUUCCCCUCAGCAUCCACAACAUUCUGCCGAUCGAUGGCCUGCUGGUAUCUGCUGGUGCCUUCUGCAUCUGCUCCUGUAUGGAAACCUCUCAAAGGCUUUCAGAGCUGUGACUGCACAGGAGAGAAGGGGUGGACAUCAUCUUCUGGGAAUUCAAGAGUUUUGAAAAAGAGUCUGAUGUGUACUUCAGGAGUCACCUAGAACAGUGUUGCUCAUCUUCCGUAAAGGAGAAUAAAUAUAUCUGCCCUUGAAGGACUCUCAUCUGUGAAGUGAAAAUUCAUAAAACUUAAAUGGUCCAUAGGAGGGUGAUUUAAAUUUUAUCACAGGUGGGCAUCCCCUGACCCCACUGAAAAGUUAAAUGAAAACUACUAUUGUUUGCUGCUUAGUUUCCCUCUGACCAAAACUAGAGAGUAAACUCCUUAAGAGUAGAAGUUGGUUUUAUGGGUUUUUUGUUUAGUAUCAGUAUUUCUCAGUACGUGUACAUAGUAGAACUUCAAUAAAUAAUUAAUUAUAAUUAAAUCUAUUCAUUUCAUGGGGUAGGAAGGUAUUCCUCUUAAUACCUCACUUCCAGAGGUUCAUGUUUUCUCAAAAUAAAUACUUCUGCCCUCUAGCCUGUUCUCCACAUGUGAGGUUAAGGAAAAAUAAAAGGGAAUGUGUGAAAUAUACUCACCCAUGAGGUCAUCUUCAAUGAAUGUUUAUUCAUAAGGGAACCACCCUGUUCUAAGCACCAAACCAUCUCUCCGCUUCCUGUGCCUGAGACAUCAUCAACUCUUUCUUGGAAGAUAUUUCCUGUCCAGUGAGACUAGGACAAUCUAUGUGCUAUCACCAUUCCCCUUCCUUCAAAGAGAAAAUAAAUAAAUACCAACCAACCCACAACACACUGCUAGCCCCAAGCUCAUUCCUAGUGGGUCUUUCAUUCCCUGUCCCCAUGUUUCCCUCAGCUAAUGGAUGCCUUGGAUGACAGACCAUUGGCUUGCCAUGAAACCCCAAAGGGUGGGAACCCUGCUGGCUCAGGAAAUAGGAGAGUUUUCUUUUCCCCUUUCCUGCUGCCAAGGUAAAAUGAACCCCUUUGCCCAGAUAAAUGGGACCAUAGAUAUAUCCUCAUAGGCUAGAAGAGGAGAGUUACAAAAUUUGUAUGGGAAAAAGUACAUAUCUGACAAUGAAAGACAAAUACUUACAUAAAUAAUCUCUACAGGAGAGAGGAAGAAUAGCAUCUCCAAGUUUACACAUAACAUUAAAUGCUUCUUCUGGUUCUCAAAAUGCCAAACAAAUGGGCAUAAACCAGAAAACCUUGCAAAGCAGCUCUGGUGUGGCACAAAAUAUCUGGACUUGAAGUCAGGAGUUCUGGUUUUAAUUAUUCAUUAGCUGUGUGCCCUUGAGCAAAAGUCUGAGGCAACUUGACUGAGACUUGUCUCCUCAUUUGCAAGAUGUAGCAUUUAAUAUGGAUUCAUGGCAAAUGGGUAGCAGCAAGGGUGUUUCGUUACCUCCAGUACUGUUCAGGAGCUGAGGAAGCUGAGGUGUUGAUGCUGAGGAAAUAAACCCAUACACAGGGGUGGUUUUGCAGGAGGAUGAACAAGUCAUCCCAUCGUGGGUGCCAUGUAGUCCAAUGGUAGUGCUUGAAAUUGAACUUACUGUUGAGACAAUGCAGAAGUUCUGGAUGAAUGUGAGGCUAUGGCAUGGCUGAGGAGGGUAAAGAAUGAAAAUCUUGCAAGGGUGAGUCUCACAGCAAGAGGUAGUUUUUAUGUGGGAGUGAAGGAGUAGUGGCUUAGAGAAGGAAAUGCUUCACUGAGAGGAUGUUGAAAACCUCUAACCGAACAAAUACUGAAGUGCAGGGAAUGCAAGCAGUCU
ensembl:lincRNA